GUAACUGUUGAUGGAUGCUAAAGCUAACCUCGAAGUUAGUUAUUUAGCAUAUAAAGAUAGUAGUGACACUGACGCACUGGCCAGUAGCCACGUGCCGAAACCCUAUCAUUCACAGAUUUGGCUGAAUGGAUUGCUGAUAAACUUCUAUUGUGUCUUCUUCUUCCACUUUAAGAGUUUUCGAUAACGAUAAACGAAAUAGAUAAGAACAAGGAGGAAAUGAGAGUGCUCACGGCGGUCGGCAGUCCUAUCUAUGGCUACCGUGCUUUGCGAAUAUCGUGGAAAGUGGAAAAAUAAGUGAACUACGCGUCAAUAUACAAAGUAAUAAUUUAUUUAAAAAAUUGUAUUUUAAAUAAAAAGUCUUUGAAAAGUU